AUUGAACGCUGGCGGCAGGCCUAACACAUGCAAGCCGAACGGUAACAGGAAGAAGCUUGCUUCUUUGCUGACGAGUGGCGGACGGGUGAGUAAUGUCUGGGAAACUGCCUGAUGGAGGGGGAUAACUACUGGAAACGGUAGCUAAUACCGCAUAACGUCGCAAGACCAAAGAGGGGGACCUUCGGGCCUCUUGCCAUCGGAUGUGCCCAGAUGGGAUUAGCUAGUAGGUGGGGUAACGGCUCACCUAGGCGACGAUCCCUAGCUGGUCUGAGAGGAUGACCAGCCACACUGGAACUGAGACACGGUCCAGACUCCUACGGGAGGCAGCAGUGGGGAAUAUUGCACAAUGGGCGCAAGCCUGAUGCAGCCAUGCCGCGUGUAUGAAGAAGGCCUUCGGGUUGUAAGGUACUUUCAGCGGGGAGGAAGGGAGUAAAGUUAAUACCUUUGCUCAUUGACGUUACCCGCAGAAGAAGCACCGGCUAACUCCGUG
rnacentral:rRNA from 1 species